AUUGAACGCUGGCGGCAGGCCUAACACAUGCAAGUCGGACGGUAGCACAGAGGAGCUUGCUCCUCGGGUGACGAGUGGCGGACGGGUGAGUAAUGUCUGGGGAUCUGCCCGAGAGAGGGGGAUAACCACUGGAAACGGUGGCUAAUACCGCAUAACGUCGCAAGACCACAGAGGGGGACCUUCCGGCCUCUCGCUAUCGGAUGAACCCAGAUGGGAUUAGCUAGUAGGCGGGGUAACGGCCCACCUAGGCGACGAUCCCUAGCUGGUCUGAGAGGAUGACCAGCCACACUGGAACUGAGACACGGUCCAGACUCCUACGGGAGGCAGCAGUGGGGAAUAUUGCACAAUGGGCGCAAGCCUGAUGCAGCCAUGCCGCGUGUAUGAAGAAGGCCUUCGGGUUGUAAAGUACUUUCAGCGGGGAGGAAGGCGAUGUGGUUAAUAACCGCGUCGAUUGACGUUACCCGCAGAAGAAGCACCGGCUAACUCCGUGCCAGCAGCCGCGGUAA
rnacentral:rRNA from 1 species